AUAUGAAUUAUGCUUUAUGGUCAACUCGGUUAAAAAGGCGGCUCCACCGCUCCGAGGCACAGGGUAGUACUCAGUUAAUGUGCAUAAGGAUACUUUUGCAAAAAGGCUGUUAAUCAUUAGCGAUAAUGAUUAAGAAGAAGAAAAUCCUCAACAGUAAACCUGUGGCGCAAAGUUGAUCGUAUUGAAAAGCACGGAACUUCCGGGCGCAAUAAUACACGCUCGCAGUGCGAGAAUAAACCUGAAAGCUUAUCGGCGUGGCAGCCGAUGAUUACUCAGGUAAAGCCAUCAAUGCACUUUGCCUUGACUUCGAGAAAUCGGAUAUAACGGAAGACUCCGGUAAUGGUAGCCGAAUGGCAAUAAAUGAACUUUUACCUAAUUGAAUGGUCGGUGACAUUUGCAGGGAACCUAUCCUGUGUAAGAUGUGGUUUUUAAAACUGGGGUAAGUAGUUAGGGGUAGAUCCCCGAAGCUCAAACUUAUCUCCUUACUUGCUGAAGAUCAAUGCGUGAAAACAAUGUACGGCGAAGGUCGGACCAUAAAGUAUAGUUGAU
ncrna:unclassified sequences ROOL RNA